AAACGAGAUGAAGAGAAACAAAGAACCACUCGAUGAUGUUCGAGUAAUGGAAAAGAUUUUGCAGUCACUGACACGCAAAUUCAAUUAUGUGGUUGCUGCCAUUGAAGAAUCAAAGGAUUUAUCAGAAAUCUCCUUUGAUGAACUUGUGGGUUCUCUUCAAGCCCAUGAACUAAAGAUGAAGCAAUAUGAUAAUUCUGAAAGUUUGGAUAAAGCUUUGCAAAGCAAGUUAUCCUUAACUUAAAGCGGAACAAGCAGCAGCUUAGGACAAAGCUCGAACAAUCGAAGCAAUAUGAUGAUUAUGACAGUUUGGAUAAAGCUUUGCAGAGCAAUUUAUCUUUAUCUGAAGGCGGAACAAGCAGCAACUUAGGACAAAGCUCGAACAAUCGUAGAGGAUACCGCGGGGGAUAUAGAGGUGGCAACAGAGGUUGUCGCGGACAAUGUGGACGAGGCUAUAAACCAUAUGGUAGAGGACAAUCAACUGAAGAUUCUCAUGGAGCAAAUCGUGGACGAGGAGCUCGAGGCAGAAGCCGAGGCAGAGGUAGAUUCAACAAUGGUUUAAAUCCCAAGUGCAGUGCUAUAAUUGUGACAAAUAUGGUCACUAUAUCAAUGAGUGUAGAUCAACUUCUAAACAAGAAGAAAGAAGUCAUGUAGCAGCUGUCGAAGAUGAAAAUGGGGAAUCUCGCAUAUUCCUCAUGUACAAAGGAGAUCAUGGAUCCAAUAGGAAUAUUUGGUAACUUGAUAACUGUGCCAGUAACCACAUGUAUGGAUGAAAGGAGUUAUUCAUGGAACAUGAUGAAUCUCUUAAUGGACGUGUAACUUUUG
rnacentral:lncRNA from 1 species